AAGCACUCUCGACAACGGAUAUCUCGGCUCUCGCAUCGAUGAAGAACGUAGCGAAAUGCGAUACUUGGUGUGAAUUGCAGAAUUCCGUGAACCAUUGAGUCUUUGAACGCAAGUUGCGCCCGAAGCCAUCAGGUUGAGGGAUCGUCUGCCUGGGUGUCACGC
rnacentral:rRNA from 1 species